rnacentral:rRNA from 1 species
CCUACGGGUGGCAGCAGUGAGGAAUAUUGGUCAAUGGACGAGAGUCUGAACCAGCCAAGUAGCGUGAAGGAUGACUGCCCUAUGGGUUGUAAACUUCUUUUAUAUGGGAAUAAAAUGUUCCACGUGUGGGAUUUUGUAUGUACCAUAUGAAUAAGGAUCGGCUAACUCCGUGCCAGCAGCCGCGGUAAUACGGAGGAUCCGAGCGUUAUCCGGAUUUAUUGGGUUUAAAGGGAGCGUAGGUGGAUUGUUAAGUCAGUUGUGAAAGUUUGCGGCUCAACCGUAAAAUUGCAGUUGAAACUGGCAGUCUUGAGGACAGUAGAGGUGGGCGGAAUUCGUGGUGGAGCGGUGAAAUGCUUAGAUAUCACGAAGAACUCCGAUUGCGAAGGCAGUUCACUGGACUGCAACUGACACUGAGGCUCGAAAGUGUGGGUAUCAAACAGGAUUAGAUACCCUUGUAGUC